rnacentral:rRNA from 1 species
AUUGAACGCUGGCGGCAGGCCUAACACAUGCAAGUCGAGCGGAGCGGGGACGGGUGAGUAACACGUGGGUAACCUCCCAUCAGAGGGGAUAACACUUGGAAACAGGUGCUAAACCGAUACUGAUGGAUGGACCCGCGGUGCAUUAGCUAGUUGGUGAGGUAACGGCUAACCAAGGCCACGAUGCAUAGCCGACCUGGGAGGGUGUUCUGCCACCCUGGUACUGAGACACGGCCCAGACUCCUACGUGAGGCAGCAGGAGGGAAUCUUCGGCAAUGGACGAAAGUCUGACCGAGCAACGCCGCGUGAGUGAAGAAGGUUUUCGGAUCGUAAACCCCUGUUGUUAGAGAAGCGGUAUCUAACCAGAAAGCCACGGCUAACUACGUGCCAGCAGCCGCGGUAAUAC